rnacentral:snRNA from 1 species
AGGUACGAGGGUGGUCUGGUACCCCACUGGUACCCCACCUCUUCAGAGUUGAUGAGGCUGACCUUAUUGACUAGGAUGGUGUCCCCUUCCUUCCUCGACACUCUCUGUGUGCCCGCCUCCUGAAGCAGUAUGUGCAGUUGACGAGAACACCAUCUGAAUAGAAAUGGACCCGUCUUCAGUCUUUGGGAUCUGAGUGUCUAUGCUUCUCUGCUCAGACCUCCCAACAAGCUGUCAAGAAGUCUGUUCUCUCCAUCUCAUGAAGAAUGUUCUUUGAAG